AGUUCCCUCUUGGGGGAAAUUUUCUGGCAAAUUCUCAGAUGUUGGGUUUAAAACCACAUGUACUGUAGAUCCAUGACUGGGCUAAGGAUGAGAUCACAUUGGUCCUGAUUACAACAACCGUAGCCUGACUGCCUAGUCGUCUCCGACAGCUCAUCAACUGUUCAGCAUCCACUUCCAACUGUACGUCUCCCCCUGAAGCCUCAUAUCAGCAGCAUCGGCUUUCAAAUAAGGAGCCAUAAGGGGACUCUUAACGUCACAGGCAUUUUGGUAAGACCCUUUAUGAGCCUUCUCUUACAAAACACCUUCUCGCUCUUCUCAUUCAUAUCCUCUCUCCCCAUCCAUCUCUUUGACUCCAACUUCUCUGUCUUUUUUUGCAAUCCCUCUUUUUCUUUGCUUCUCUUUUUAUACCCUUCAGUCCAAUUUCUGGCCUCUUCCUCACCCCCCUCUCUCUCUCCAUCAUAUUGCAUCUCCUAAAUCAGACAUGACUCAACUCUGGAUUUCUUCAACUAGACAUAAUUGAGCCGCGCAUUCCUCACAAUGUAAUAACUGCUCAUACUGUAGUAUACUGCAAUCCAAACAAUAACUGUGCUUACAUAAUCGAUUUCCAAAGUCAGUUUCAAUAUAAAUAGAUGUCUGUUUGUUUUCAUUCAGUCUGAUUGAUAAAACACAACAGGCUAAUGAUUUACCUUAUAUCUAAUUUAUGAAACGCUCUUAUACUAGCUGUCCUUUGCACUCACUGUUGUGACAAACUUCCUCCAUUGUAGCAUAUAGAAGCAACAGUGAUUUCUUUGUUAAAGCUACUGUGAGGAACUUUAAAUUUGUUUCGAUUUUGGCGGUCCCUGUGGACAAAAGCGGUAGUGUUUCCGACCACCAGAGUCUCUUUAGAAAACAUCUAAUUUUACUGCAGAAGGAUCUGACUGUCUGCUCCCAUAAGUCCUGGUUCUGGUUCUCCCGUGCGUCCCUUCCCACCAGCGGGCCCAGCAAUACAGCCUGAGCCUUCAGCAGCGCGGUGUCAGUGUUGGCUCCCAGCGAGGACCUGCGGAGCAGCGAGGCAAAGCUCUGCUCCUGGCCAGAGGAGGAGCCGCUGCCGCCAGGCACGGAGCACUCCUACUCUUGACAGAGCUCCGACUGCAGUUCGAAGGCAGUAGCAAAGCCGGACCUGGGUCUGUACACGGUGGGUCUGCUGGAGUCUGAGCUGAAGGAGUUUCUGGUGAAUCUGCAUAAUUUCGCCUGAUUUUGCGCGGAAUCCGACCCGGUGGCACCGAUGACAAGCAUUAAGAAUAACUAUAUAGAAAUAGCCAAUCUUCUCGCUGAUGGAACUGCAUUGAUAAGGUU